CCCCAACAAAAAUCAGCAGCCCCAACGUUCACCUCCACCCCUCUCCCAUCACGUCACUUCACCGCCGCCACACACUUAGGAUCGCUGGUUAAACGCCUCCACUGACGCCGCUGCCUCAAAUCACCUCUGUCUAUCACCUUUUUCUCUGCAUUUGAGAGCUGUCACAGCUCUGUUGAUGUAUGUAAAAGGGAAAAUUCGAAGAUCCUUCGGGUUGAAGCUUACUCUGUCUUCAAUUCAAUGGGUAUAGGCACAGAUUGACUCAGACUACUCCAAAGGACUCAUCCCUUCACAUCACCCCUGCAAAAGACCUGAGCAAGGACUGCUUGAAGCGAAUUCGGAGACUCGACGAUGACAUUAGCCUCAGUUCGCUGUCCCGGAGAAGGUCGGUAAUCACACUUGUAUUCACUUCAUCUUUAAUUUUGUAGAAAUAAAAUGUAGCCAUUAUAUAGCUCUUGUCGAGUAUGUUGUUUUUCCCUGUCUGAAAUUUGUUUGUUGUUCUGUCCUGUUCUUAAUCUGUGUAUAAAAGGUAGUUAAUAAGGACUAAGAAUACUUUAAGGAACUAUCGAUUAACUUGCAGAAUAUGCGGACGACUAGGUUGCUUGUUUGGAUUUUUAUCUUUAAUACUGGUAGAAAGGUUGAUCUUACAUAACGUUUAGAACAUCAAAUAUGUUCAUGUCAUGCGUUUAAGGCUGUUCUCUGACCCGUUUCUUGUUGAAUUUGAGGCCUAACUGAAUAUGGAAAUUCCUCCUUAAAUCAACAAAUGUUGGAGUCCGAAUGUAAUUGGCUGCAUUUUUCCACUUGUUGUGAGAUUUCGUUCCUUCAGUAAGCCACCCUCGCCUUUUAUUUUGUUUGAAAAUCACAGCGUUAAAUGUAGUUGUUUGAUGGUUCUUGUUGCUUGUUCCACUUGUAUCUUUUGCUGCUUUUGUUUUUUUUUUUGUCCCAAGUCUGUGUAAAAAUCAUUAACAGGGAUUAAUAACACUUAGGAGUAAUAACUACUUAAUUUGUCGACUAUGGGAAUAAUCGUAUUGCUAGUUUAAAUUAUGUUUUAAUACCCUUAUUGAAUGAUCUUACUGCAAUUUUAUUAAAAGAAAUAACCUGCAGUUAGUCGAGAUUAGGCUUGCUUGUCGGUCUACUUAGGAAAUAACCAUCCAUGAUUGUUGGCUCCUAGUUUGUUAAUUUCAAGCAUAUAGAUUUGUUAAAAACUCUAUGCAAUAUAUUGUCUUGGUAAACUACUUAAAAAGACUUUGUGGUUCCAAGUAUUAUCAGACAUUGCUUUCUCUCUUAUGAAUUAGAUUCCUAUUCUUUGGUAGAAUACCAGAGGCCAUAUAUAUAUAUUUUUUAGAUGUUAUCUUCCAAAAAGGCUUUGUUUCAAGAUUACAGUAUGUCGUGUUUCUGAAAAAUUCAUCUGUUUAGAAAUAGGUGGCUGUCAUUAUGUCCUUGAAUUUUCUUGGGUGAUAAAUGAGCAUUAGUAAGGUGGAUUUGUCCUUAGUUUAGAGGACAGUUAUAAGUAAUUGGACUAAAAUGUGGGUGGAAAUUCUUUUAAAAAGUGACUAAAUACUAACUAGCAAUGAAUCACUGUCAUGAGAUCUUGGAACCACUGUCCUCUAGCCAUGCUUUGUUCAUGAAAGUAGUUGGUUUAGUCUCCUGAUUUGUGAGGGGCUGUUUGGGUUUCUAUAUAUGUCAUGGUUGUUCGGGUUUCAGUUCAAAGGGGCUGUUUGAUUUCGUUGUUGUGUGCUUAAUAUUCUUGUCUGUGAACUUAAAUUAUCAGUUUAAAAGUAUUGAGAAGUGAUUUGUUCUGCCCAGCUGAAAUUCCUUUUUUUUUUUAGCUUCCUUUUACAUUAACGCUUAGUUUAUUGUUGGGUAAAAAUCCAAGAAUUAUUGAAGGCAUGUUCAUUAAAAGUUUGUUGGUAUUUCUUAUUUCAUCUUGAAAAAAAAAGGUUUGAAUUAGUUAAAGUUGUUAUGUUGUGAGUCUUGGGAAAGCUUUUAACUUGGACUUAUCCCUUUUCUUGAAAAUAAGUGACGGUAUUCUGUUAGGAUUAAUGUCAGUUAUAUUAGAACAAUUUCUUGAGUCUCCCUUGAAAAUUGGGUUUAUGUUACCUUAAAAUGUAGUUAAACUUAUGGGAGAAUUUGAUUGAUCAUCAGCACUGUCAUGUUAACAAUGAGUGGAAGUGAACAUUCUUUUAUUUCCCUAGUUAAGUUUCUGUACUGUCCGUAAAUGGCUAUUCUAUGGUAAUACUGAUUUACCUUCUUAAACUUUGUAAACACAUACAUAUGUUAAGUUCGUGUAGUUGAUGAGCUUAAAUUGCUAUGCCAUGAUAACACUAACGAUCAAAUGCUUUUCUUAUUUUGUUGAGUUCUUUGAAUAUGUCUGACUUGUGCGAACAUUUGAAUAAUCCUUAGUUGCAUAGCUCGUUUUGGACAGUCUGUCUAAAAGUCAAAUAAAAUAAUGUUACCUUGUUAUAGAAUCAUGUGUUUUUUUUUGCUAUUGGAUUCUGCUACCAAACCUACUUGGUUGCUAGAUGAUGCUAAUCCUAAACCUCUUUUUUUUUUUUUUUUUUACAUGGAAUACUCGGAGCACCUUGGGAGUUUAUUAGCAAAACUCCACGAGCAGCCCAAUUGGACUGAACUACAAGCCGCGUCUGUCCAUUCCAUUCCUCUCGAGUCUCUACUACUUGCGUCAGAGUCUUCAAGUUUGAUGUUGGAUUCUUGAAAGAGAUCCAGUCUCUUCUCUCUUCUUUCGGUCUAGCCGUAUUAUCGUAUUUGUUGUAUUUUUUGAACUAACACUCGCCUUUUGAGUCUUUUGUGUUGAUAUGUUUUGUUUGUGACUCAAUUUUGUUUAGAACUUUCCAGGUGGGCUUUAGCAAACUUAAUCACUACAAUUUCUA